rnacentral:lncRNA from 1 species
GAUGUGACCUUCUCCAAGACAUGGCAGAGAAUAGCAUGUCGAGAUAAAUGAUAGGUAACUAAUCCAGGUAACUACAUGACCAGAUACUAAUGAACGUAAAUGAUAGGGGAUUAACCAUUAAUAGGCGUACUAAUGACCAGUAACUAAAUGACCGAAAUGAUAACUUAAUGACCAGAUAAAUGAUAGGGGUAACUUAAUGACCAGAUAAAUGAUAGGUAACAUUAAUGACCAGAUAAAUGAUAGGGGUAACUUAAUGACCAGAUAAAUGAUAGGGGUAACUUAAUGACCAGAAAAUGAUAGGAGGUAACUUAAUGACCAGAUAAAUGAUAGGGGUAACUUAAUGACCAGAUAAAUGAUAGGGUAACUUAAUGACCAGAUAAUGAUAAGGGGUAACUUAAGACAGAAUCAAAAAUAGGGGUAACUAAUGACCAGGAUAACUAAUGACCAUGGUAACUUAAUGACCAGAUAACUAAUGACAGGUAACUAAUGACCAGAAAAUGACAGAGGUAACUAAUGACCGAUAAAUGACAGAGUGUAACUAAUGACCAGAUAAAUGAUAGAGGGUAACUAAUGACCAAACUAAUGACCAGGUAACUAAUGACCAGAUAAAUGACAGAGAACUAAUGACCCAGAUAAAUGAAGAGGUAACUAAUGACCAGAUAAAUGAUAGAUUAACUAAUGACCAGAUAAAUGAUAGAGGUAACUAAUGACCAGAUAACUAAUGACCAGAUAAAUGAUAGAGGUAACUUAAUGAUAAAUGAUAGAGGUAACUUAAUGAUAAAUGAUAGAGGUAACUAAUGACAGAUAACUAAUGACCAGAUAAAUAGAGGUAUACAAUGACCAGAUAAAUGAUCAGAGGUAACUAAAUGACAGGUAACUAAUUGACCAGGUAACUAUGAUACCAGGUAACUAAUGACCAGGUAACUAGUACCAGGUAACUAAUGACCAGAUAACUAAUGACCAGAUAAAUGAUAGAGGUAACUUAAGAUAAAUGAUAAAGGGAAACUAAUGACCAGAUAACUAAUGACCAGAAAAUGAUAGAGGUAACUAAUGACCAGGUAACUAAUGACCAGAUAACUAAUGACCAGUAAAGAUAGGGUAACUUAAUGAUAAAUGAUAGAGGUAACUAAUGACAGGAUAACUAAUGACCAGAUAAAUGAUAGAGGUAACUAAUGACCAGAUAACUAAUGACCAGAUAAAUGAUAGAGUAACUAAUGACCAGGUAACUAAUGACCAGUAAACUAAUGACCAAGGUAACUAAUGACCAGAUAAAUGAUAGAGGUAAAUAAUGACCAGUAAAAUGAUAGAGGUAACUAAUGACCAGGUAACUAAUGACCAGAACUAAUGACCAGGUAACUAAUGACCAGGUAACUAAUGACCAGUAACUAAUGACCAUAAAUGAUAGAGGUAACUUAAUGAUAACAUGAUAGAGGUAACUAAUGACCAGAUAAACAAUGACAGAUAAUGAUAAGAACUAACUGACCAGUAAGGAUAGAUACUAAUGACCAGAUAACUAAUGACCAAGGUAACUAAAGACCAGAUAAGAUAGAGUAACUAAUGACCGAGGUAAUUAGUGACCAGAUAAAUGAUAGAGGUAACUAAUGAGCAGGUAACUAAUACCAGGAAAUAUAGAGGUAAACUAAUGACCAUGGUAAAGGAUAGAGGUAACUAAUGACCAGAUACUAAUGACCAGUAAUAAUACCAGUAAAUAGAUAUAGGUAACUAAUGACCAGGAACUAAUGACCGGAUAAAUGAUAGAGGUAACUAAUGACCAGAUAACUAAUGACCAGAAAAUGAUUAGAGGUAACUAAUGACCAGGUAAAGGAUUAGAGUAACUAAUGACCAGAUAACUAAUGACCAGAUAAAUAAUAGAGGUAAACUAAUGACCAAGUAAGGAUGUAGAGGUAAACCAUAAUGUACCAGAAUAACUAGAUCCAGGUAAACUAAUGAUCCAGUAAAAUGAUAGAGGUAACUAAUGAUAAAAUGAAGAGGGUAACUAAUGACCAGUAACUAAUGACAGCGUAAAGGGUAGAGUGUAACAAUGACCAGAUAACUAAUGACCAGAUAAAGGAUAGAGGUAACUAAUGACCAGAUAACUAAUGACCAGGUAACUAAAUGACCAAUAAAUGAUAGAGGUAACUAAUGACCAGGAGAUAUUGACCAGAUAAAUGAUGAGGUAAUAAUGACC